UAAACACACGAGAACAUUCAGUUGGAUCCAAUGAGUUGUUUAUUGCAAUUAUGCUUCAUUGACAAAUAAGACAGAAAAAUAGUCCCUUACAUGUACACAAUAAACACGAGGACUAAAACAAUAGAAGCAGCAGACUUUCCAAAUCAUCAACAGGUGUGCACGUAUCUUUAAUAACUGAACAUGUUCUGCGGCCGCUUGGUUCCCAUCAGAACACAAAAAAAUCAAGAUUCAGUUUAAAUUCAUUUACAACAUGCAACAUUAUCCCAUCGACCUCUUGGUUAUUAUGAAUAAAAUAUAAAAUCUGCUUUAAAUCAGGUUGUAAAUCAGGAUUAUGACAAAAAUUAUGAAAGAGCCCUUAAGACCAAAACUGGCAAUGUCUGAAAAUAUACAAACAUUUACCAUCAAUAGGUAUUUUACAUACAUUUCAAAUAAUAAAUGUGCUUAUCUAACUAUGGGAGAUCUUAAAAGUCUUUUCAUGGUUUAUCAUGCUAUACUUUCCAGAAGAGGGAGAGAGAGAGUGAGAGCCAGAGCGAGAGAGAGAGAGACUAUAACUGCCACAGAGACACUGAGUCAUCAGGCCUCUCAGUGUGUGUGUAUGUGUGUGCGUGUGUGUGGGUGUGUUUUUGUGUAUGUGUGUUUUUGUGUGUGUGCGCCAGGGAUGGAAAUUAACUUUUUUGCCCACCAGCCACUGUGGCAGGUAGAUUUAAAAAUCUAACAGCCACUCAUCUUUUUUAACAGCCACUUUUUAUACGCUAUAUAUUUUUUUGAUGUAUACAUUUUGAACAAUAUAAUAGUAACAAUAGAUAAGAAAAGUGUUUUUCAUACACAUCUUCUUUUCCAUCAGAAGUGAUUUUUACUGAGUUGAAAACGUUACACUCUUACCGAUAAACAAUACACAGGUAUCUGCCAUGUUAAGUCUUGUUUAUUUCAAAGGUGUUACGAUGAAAAGUUUGGGGAUAAUUCAUCUAUACAAAGUAUUUUCAAUAAAAAAAGAAAAUUGACAUAUUAACAAUAAAACAACAUGCAUGGCUACACCAUCAGAGGUCAAUUUGUUUUUUUAUAUUUACAUGUGACUGCAUACAAAUGUGUCCACAGACAUGGUAACUAACGUAUGAUAGGAAGCAUUAUUGGCCCGUAACACUAAUAUUCAGAAAAAACACUGCCUCAAAAGGCUAUUGGCUUAAGCAAUACAAGUAGAGGCAUAUACUUGAACUUUAUACCCUGAACUUUUAAACGUUGCAAACGUGCAAAAACAUAAUUAUAUAUUUAUGUGGCAUUCAGUCCAAUGCUGAAAAUAUAUCUGUGGCAUUCAGCAGGCCAAUGCUGUGGUAAAGUGUGUAAAGUAUGACCAAGUGUUUCUUUCUGUUCAAUGGUCUAGAUAGAACUUUAUCAAUCCUCUGUAGGAGAAAUGUGUUAAUGUUUGUCCCUUUAAAACAAUAAUGGUAAAAAAAAAAAAUACACGACUGUAACUGAGUAAGUCAAACCGUCCAAACUGAAGGCUCUACUUAACCACGCCCCCUACUCCCUUCCACCAAUGCAAAGCGAACAGAACUGGGUAGGGGAGGGCAUAGCCUAACUUGCUUGUGAACCAUUCAGAGGAACGCAACGCAAAUUCAAUGUGAACAUGUUUGAGGCUUUAAUAAAUCCCGACGAUUUUGAAAUUCCGCAAAACAUUUUUUAAAAGUGUCUCAAAAAGAGGGCAUGUCCGGUGUUGCAUAUUCUCGAAGAAAGUUGUCCAAUCCCGGGUUGCUUUAACUCACUUCAUUUAUUAUAAAGUCUUCGGCAUGUUUCGGCAUGGUAACUGGCUAUGGAACGAAAGUCUAGGAAUUGUGUAGAACACGUGUGAGAGAUAUUAACUCUAGCUACUAUGGGCCACGGGCAGAGGCCCGUGACUCUUCGCGGGUGUCGCUGAAAAAUCUCUGGCCCCUUCACCCAGUGGCGGAGCCAGGGGGUGGCCGGGGGUGGCCAUGGCCACCCCCCGUAGAAUCUCGGCCACCCCAUUGGCCACCCCAAGCACCGGAUCACAGCGGUCAAAAGUUUUGACGGCUGUGGAAAAAUGCGGAACCUUUCUCGCACCGCUAGUACACUGCCGGACCCUUUAGCCGCGCGCAGCGCGCACACGUCCUGUAUUUGAAUUAAACGGCUCAAGCAUGCCCUGAAUGCCUGUUACCACCUGACGCUUCGACCGGCACCUGCGGCUAAGUGAAGAAACCCAAAACAGAAAAAUUGAUCGAGAGCAGGACAGAAGAGUCCUCCCUGAGGAGUGGCCCCAGUGGAUCCCUAGGUAAAUUGUCAAUCUUACAUUGUAUGUUGUACUCUUCUGCUAACUUUUCAUCGAUAUUGUCCACAAGUUUAUAUUGUAUAUGUUUAAUGCUGUAGAAAAUGAAUUUUAAUCUUUUGUAUCUGUGAAAUACUUGGAUAGUGGAUCAUUACACAUUGUGGAAAAUACUUUAAACACCUAUUAAUGUUUUUAAUAUAUAUAUUUAGAUUCCCACAGAAGAUUCAGACAGCGAGAGAGAGAGGUACCUCCAGGUAUACUCACUCUUUCACACAUACUGGACACUUUAAUUCCACUUCAGUUUUGCCCAAUCUGAUACAGUGGCCUGAUAAUUCAUAAACAGGUAUGAGUCAUACCAAUCACCGUCCUCAACUGGAGUAGAGUUGGAUGAAUGGCCUCAAAUCUAUAACGUUUUAAGCAGAUUAUAGUGUUCAGAUAAUCCAUUAGAUGUAACAUGGGAUAGUACACUCCAAUGUAUGAGUUUAUCUUGAUUGUUAUUAAUCUCUGCUGUAAUUUAAUAAUUGAAUAUGCCUUUUUUUCCAUUUUCAAACAGACAUUUCCAAAUCAAGAACCGAUAGAUCUUUAGGGACAUUCAUUGAAGUGUUCAGUUUUAAUGAGAUGUCACUGUUUGGAUUCUCUGUCUGAUAUGUGUAAAUGUGGCUCAAACUUGAAUCUAAUCUUGCAGAGUCCGCCUAAUACCCAUUGUGAAUAUGAUGUUUGUUAUUAUGUGUUUGAUAGAUGUUUAUGGAUCGAAUUGAAGAAAAAUUGACACUGCUUUUUUAAACAGGCUGUUAAUGCUUGUCAUAUUUACAUUUGUUGGAAUUCAGCAAAUUGUAUUCAGGAUGUUAUUUUAUUUAUUUUCAUAUUUCUAUGCAUUAGCUCAGUAUUUUAUACCUUUUGUUAUUUAAAGAUAAAUCCAUAUUGUGAUCAGACUUGAUUAAAAAAAACAUUGCACUUCUAAUUUUGUAUCCUUGUUUUGUAUUCCUGAUGAUACACUGAGAGAAUUGACUUGGCUUGUCGCCAUAAACUGAGGACAUCUCUACUAUAAAAUAGAAUACCUUGCUGUCAAUGCAUAUCUGUACAGCCAUUGUUCUACUCAGUCGUACAAUACAAAUAAAAACACAAAUAGCAAUCGGUAAAUCAACACAGUUUAAAAACAAGUAUGAAUACAGAAUAAGUGUAUAUUAUUUUUUAAGUUUUAGCUUCUUUGUUACUUUGCCUUUAGGUAUAAGAACAAUUUAAAUAUAUUGAAUACUUUUCUAUUGCACCUUCAUCUGAAUUCCGAAUAAUGUUGAGAUGUUUGCUGUAUGUGUCUUAAAUAGCUCUGCAUCUCCUUGUGAGACACAUGCUUGCCACCCAAAAAUUAUCACUGGCCCCAUCCUGGCCACCCCAAUGGAAAUUUCCUGGCUCCGCCACUGCCUUCACCUAGUGUAUUUGAACAAUCCUGGUUCCCUAUCAAUGUGCAUGACACAACCCGUGUCUAUUGCACUCCUGUUUUGAUACACAAAACGCAUGAAAACAGACAGAAGGGCCCAGCAACCUUGAAAAACAUAAUGUCUGAGUGUUAGGCAUUCGUUACUGCACAUACUGCUAUUUCCUGAAGAGAGAGAGAGAGAAUAUUAAGAUCAAUGCACAGAAGUAGCCUUUGCUUGGGUUGCAAAGGCUAAAUUUACAUCCUGGUUCCAACACAUGGCUAGGUGUGAGGGUGGGAGGGGGCAAGGGGAAGAAAGAACAAUAAGACAAGAACUUCAAUUUAACUAACAAUAGAGAGGCGAGUGGCCUUCUUUAAGCAAUAUGAAUAAGGAAGGGUAGGGGAAGAGAAUGUUUGCAGGGACAAAGGGUGGGGAGGGGGGGAUCUGACGACCGGAUUUGGGACAAAAGGAUGGGGGG
ensembl:lncRNA